CCAGCGCCUGCAACAGGUCCCUGCC
rnacentral:piRNA from 1 species